AGUCCUCAGAGGUCACUGCAGAAAAAGCAGGCCCCAAUGUGCAGUGGAAGCUCUCCUCACCUGUGUUUGAUCACACUUGUGCCUGCAGGCCCUCUCGGUGGAUUACCAGAGCGGAGUCCUGUCCCUGAGCCUGCAGUGGAUUCCAGAGGUGUGAGUGGAGUUGAGUGGGAUCCAGCUUCCCAGCUGAGCUUCAGGACUGAAGCCCCAGCAACUCGUAUGGGUCCUGAGAGAUUGAGAAAGACACGGGAAAGAGGAAAAUAUCCCCAGACGCUGUCCCAUAUGCUAAUGAGAAUCAUGAAGGACAAGGCAGCGCAUGGUGUGGAUGGUGAAGGACAUGCGAAUGCCACAGAAGAUGAAGAUCUACUGAAGUACUGCCUUGCACUUACUGCGGCUCUCCUGGUUUCCAUGCUGGCAGCGAUGAUUACGUUCUGUCUUGUUAUCCGGCGAUGUAGGCAGAGAAACCAGUGAGUUGUUGUUCACCCCCAUCCCCAUCCUGCCCAUCUCUUUACUAUAGGGCUGCUAUAAAAAAGCUAUAUAAAAGCCAGGAGGCAUUUCUAGUUAAAGCAGCGUGGAGAGGCCAGUUAGUUGUUGGCUUACAUGGUCUGAGAUUUACACUGUCAGAUGUUUUAAUUGGCCUUGCCAUUCCUGCAUCCUGUCUUUACUGCUAGGCCUGAGACAGGCUGGGAGCUGAGGGUGGCUCUUUGCCAUGUGCUGUGAGGAAGAAGAGCAGGGGCUUUCAUGUGCCCUCAGCACAUUUCUCUCUCCGCAGGCACCUUGCUGCAGCUGCCGGAGCCUGGCCCGAUGCCCACGGCCACAACUCGCACUUGGAUGGACGGCCUGCUCACCUCAAGGUGCCCGACCGACAGACACAGCAUGGACAGCCACCACCUGUGCAGGGACAACCUGCCCUCCUGCCGCAGAGCCCCACCAGAGCAGACUCUGCUGGGCCAGACAGCUGCCAGGCUCAGUUGCCCCCGCCUCAGACUCCACAGCCCACCAGCC
rnacentral:lncRNA from 1 species